UGGGGAAUUUUGCGCAAUGGGCUAACGCCUGACGCAGCAACGCCGCGUGGAGGAUGAAGGUCUUUGGAUUGUAAACUCCUGUCAGCAGGGAAAAAGCGAAUCGGCCUAAUACGCCGGUGAGUUGAUUGUACCUGCAGAGGAAGCCCCGGCUAACUCUGUGCCAGCAGCCGCGGUAAUACGAAGGGGGCUAGCGUUGUUCGGAAUUACUGGGCGUAAAGCGCGCGCAGGCGGUCCUUCAAGUCAGAGGUGAAAGCCCAGAGCUCAACUCUGGAACGGCCUUUGAGACUAGAGGACUUGGGUACGGGAGAGGUGAGUGGAAUUCCGAGUGUAGAGGUGAAAUUCGUAGAUAUUCGGAAGAACACCAGUGGCGAAGGCGGCUCACUGGCCCGUUACCGACGCUCAGGCGCGACAGCGUGGGGAGCAAAC
rnacentral:rRNA from 1 species